rnacentral:rRNA from 1 species
AGCAGCCGCGGUAAUUCCAGCUCCAAUAGCGUAUAUUAAAGUUGUUGCAGUUAAAAAGCUCGUAGUUGAAUUUUAGGCCUGGCCGGACGGUCCGUCUCUGGCGAGUACUGUUCUGUCGUCGGGUCUAUCCUUCUGGUGAGCCGGUAUGUUCUUCAUUGGGCGUAUCGGGGAGCCAGGACCAUUACCUUGAAAAAAUUAGAGUGUUUAAAGCAGGCUUUUGCUUGAAUAGAUUAGCAUGGAAUAAUAGAAUAGGACGUUGUGGUUCUAUUUUGUUGGUUCAAGGACCACCGUAAUGAUUAAUAGGGAUAGUUGGGGGCAUUAGUAUUCAAUUGUCAGAGGUGAAAUUCUUGGAUUUAUUGAAGACUAACUAUUGCGAAAGCAUUUGCCAAGGAUGUUUUCAUUAAUCAAGAACGAAAGUUAGGGGAUCGAAGACGAUCAGAUACCGUCGUAGUCUUAACCAUAAACUAUGCCGACUAGGAAUCGGGCGACGUUAUUUUACGAC